rnacentral:rRNA from 1 species
AGAUUGAACGCUGGCGGCAUGCCUUACACAUGCAAGUCGAACGGUAACAGGUCUUCGGAUGCUGACGAGUGGCGAACGGGUGAGUAAUACAUCGGAACGUGCCCGAUCGUGGGGGAUAACGGAGCGAAAGCUUUGCUAAUACCGCAUACGAUCUACGGAUGAAAGCAGGGGACCGCAAGGCCUUGCGCGGACGGAGCGGCCGAUGGCAGAUUAGGUAGUUGGUGGGAUAAAAGGCUUACCAAGCCGACGAUCUGUAGCUGGUCUGAGAGGACGACCAGCCACACUGGGACUGAGACACGGCCCAGACCUCCUACGGGAGCAGCAGUGGGGAAUUUGGACAAU